GAUGAACGCUGGCGGCGUGCCUAAUACAUGCAAGUCGAGCGAACAGACGAGGAGCUUGCUCCUCUGACGUUAGCGGCGGACGGGUGAGUAACACGUGGAUAAACUACCUAUAAGACUGGGAUAACUUCGGGAAACCGGAGCUAAUACCGGAUAAUAUAUUGAACCGCAUGGUUCAAUAGUGAAAGACGGUUUUGCUGUCACUUAUAGAUGGAUCCGCGCCGCAUUAGCUAGUUGGUAAGGUAACGGCUUACAAAGGCUACGAUGCGUAGCCGCCCUGAGAGGGAGAUCGGCCACACUGGAUCUGAGACACGGUCGAGACUCCGACGGGAGGCAGCAGUAGGGAAUCUUCCGCAAUGGGGGAAAGCGUGACGGAGCAACGCCGCGGGAGUGAUGAAGGUCUUCGGAUCGUAAAACUCUGUUAUUAGGGAAGUACAAAUGUGUAAGUAACUAUGCACGUCUUGACGGUACCGAAUCAGAAAGCCACGGCUAACUACGUG
rnacentral:rRNA from 1 species